CGCUCGUCUUCUUGGCCGUCGGUUCUACCGCCGCCGUUCGGUUUCGUGGGACCGCUCUGUCAGUUUGAUCCUUAUCCUCUCGCGGGCCCCGCAUGUCAGACUCUCCUCGCCCGUUCGCCCCCAAAUCCGAACCGCCGUGCGCCGCUCUUCUCGAUUCCAAGCGCCGCCGCCCGUACGCCGCCGCGCCCGCUCGCCUGCGCCUCCUUGCCGGACCCACACGCCGUUGCCGACGCUCCGCCGCCGCUCCACCUCGCCAUGCAGCUGCUCCGCACACCCGCGUCGUCUGUCCACACCGCCCGCACCACCUCACCGUCGCCGCGCCGCGCCGCCCGUACUCCGCCUGCCGCCGCUCCAGCACUGCUCCCAGCAUCGCCACCGCACCAUCUCACACGCGCUGCCAUUGCUGCAGCUAAGCUGGGCUGAGCCCCUCCUUUUCCACCCAUGUACAGUGUGCACGUCAGGUGUUCGGUACAUUGCCUCCAAGGCAUUUUCUUCGGUUCUUCGAGCUUUUUGCUCUCUGCAGUGGUGGAAUCACUGAUCCUUCUGUAAUGCAUGAUGACAGGCGAUAAGAAAGGAAAGGGAAAGGCAGUUGAGAAGCCAAAGAGAAGAGGACUCAUGAGGAACGCGAGUCGGACCGAGCUCUUGCAGUGCCAGAUACACAGGGUCAGCCACAGCGUCCAGUUUGCAUCCGUGAGACACCGGCAGAUACUCAGGGGGAGUUAGGGUCAGGGGCAGCAGCAGAGACAAUUUCAGCGACAGUUGCCGCUCAGGGCACCCGCCGCUAUGCCGCUCAGGGUGUACGCGUGCUUCAGCAGCAGCAGAAGUAGCGACUCCACCACCGGCUUGUUCAGGUCCACGGACACGAGGUGGAGUUCCUCCGAGGCCAGCAGCUCGCUUGCAGUAGCGUCAGCAGCAGGAGUCUAGUAGUGACAGCAGUAGCUCUGAUUCGAGUGCACAGGGCAGAGUUCGUGGUACUCAGGCACAGAUCCCGCCAGUUUUUCUGAGAGACUUGAGAUGGCUACCAGGGCCCAAGGUCAGGAGGCUCCGUUGUGUGAGGGAGGAGGAGUGGUGGCCUGGUGAGAGGGAGGCCAAGGUAGACCCUCAUUUCUGGACACUCCUUCAGGAGGCCUUCUACUACGCCUAUGUCCAGACUGGGGUCAGGUUCAGCGAACACUGUCUACUUCACUGAGGUGCUCUCCGUGUGUCAGCUGGUGGAGUUCCUAUACUCCCAUUCUUUGAGCAGUACCCAGGACUGGUUGCUCUGCUCAGUGAAAGGGCCUAGUAUGUUCAGGAGUGGGUCCGAGUGUUCUAUGCCACACUAUACGUCAGCGUCGAGCGACACUACAUUCAGUUCAUGUUCGCAGGCGGAUAGUGGAGGCUAUCUUGUUAGCGAUUGGCUGAGCGCUUAGGAGUCCAUAUUUCAGUUGAUCCAGUGUAGUUGCACUUGUUGGCCUAUGGAGACGCAGAGGCCCCUCGCCAUGCUCAUGAGGCUAUUUUCCCACCAGAGGAGGAGGUCAGGAUCUUAUUCAUAGAGCCUUUUCUGCCAGGCACCCCGAGGACUCCAGAUAGACUCACUCCAGUAGCAUGCACUAUUCACUUGGUUUUGAGGAGGAGUUUGCUAUACAGGCAGGGAAACAAUGAGUGCAUCACAGCUCUACAGCAGUGGCUCCUGAUUCACAUCUUGACAGGCAGAAAGUUCGAUAUUGUAGACUUGUUUAUUUGCGAGCUAGAGGAUGCCAUCAUGGAUGGGAUAACAGUGCAGCUACAGCAGCCGUUUGCACAUUUGAUCAGCUAGAUUUGUGGACAGAUUCAAGGAAAUCAGCAUAUGCAUGAGCUUGAGCGCUCGAGGUCGCGCUUCAAGGAGUACUCACCGACAGGACCACGUGAUGGUCGUCGAGGCCCCAGAGGCUAGCGUAGAGCAGAGCAGGUUCUUCAGCAGAGUGCAGAGGCUGAGGCCGAGGCAGAUCCCAUGGCAGCAGAGAGCGAGGCACUUGCAGCAGCAGAGGCCCGUCUUCUAGCUUACUUGGCCACAGACUCAGAGGACUUGAGGACGACGAGGACUUCAUUCCCACCAUUCCCGUCCAGCGAACCGCUUACGACCACGAGGCAGGGACGUUGGGAGCAGACAUAGAGGCAGAGCAUCACGAUCUUACACCUCCUUCACCUCCUCCCAUCACGACCGCUCAGAUCACCAUCCUGGACACGCUUGUGACGAUACUUCAGACACUCAGAGCAGCAGCGUCAUUCCGAUGAGAGGCAGGACAGGCUUCAGGCAGAGCAGGCACGCAUGCAGGAGGCCCAGAUUAUCAUGUUUUAGGAGAUGAGGCAGCAGCAGGAGGCCACGAUGCAGCAGUUCCUUCAGCAGCAGCUCCUUCAGCAGCAGCAGAUGCAGCAGCAGAUGUUCACAUUCUUCUCUGGCUGUUUUGGACCCAUUUACCGUCAUAUUGGACUGCCAGAGCCUCAGAUUCCUACUACUCAGCAGCUCCAGUUUGACCCAGCUGGUCCACCUCAACCCAUUGGAGGGUUCGUGCAGACACCCCGGCGUCGUUCCCGAUGUCACCACUUCUUUAGACAGGGGUGUUCUCUGCUCCGGUGCCUCAGCAGAGUCCGAUGACUGAGCAGCAGCGUGCACAGUACUUAGAGCAGGAGCCGUUCUUUCAGCAGCUUCCGCAGGGCACUGUUCAGCCGUCUCGUCUGCCAGCUUCAGUUGUUCUUUCUCUACCGAUCACGACUCUGAACUUCGACGAGACUCCACCGCCGCCUCUGCCGAUUCGCCCUGAGGUCGUACGUCCAAGCUCGACGGACUCCGCUGCCGUCACGUCUCUUGCAGCUUCACUUGCCCCAGUGACGGAGUCCCGAGUGUCGCUACGGAGCCAGCAGUUUCCUUAGCUCCCACUACUUUAGCUGCUCCGUCGAUCACUCCACUCAAGUCUUCUUCCACCGAUGACUCCUCAAACGACGACGACCCUGACCCCGACCAGUACCUCACCGUGCCGUCUGCCGCUCUAGCUCCAUCUUCUCCACCUCAGGAGUAGUUCCUUUUAGCUUUCGCCUUCCUUUUUGGUGCUUUGUUGCCAACGGGGGAGAUAGAUAUGGGGAGUAGAGAUAGGGGGAGCAGGGAGGUUUGUGGCAUGAUUUGGAUCUUUGUAUGGACAUGUCGUUUGGAUCUUGUGUAUGCUCGUGUGUUGAUAUGCCCCUGCAUGUGCUUUCCUUUCAGUAUUGCAUGAAUGCAUGCUUGCUUAGUUGGUUGUUUA